rnacentral:piRNA from 1 species
UGGAAAUGCUAAGUCCUUGAGAUUCCCUGC